UAUUGUUUUGUGGUGUUUGCCUGU
rnacentral:piRNA from 1 species